rnacentral:rRNA from 1 species
UACGUAGGGUGCGAGCGUUAAUCGGAAUUACUGGGCGUAAAGCGUGCGCAGGCGGUUUUGUAAGCCAGAUGUGAAAUCCCCGGGCUUAACCUGGGAAUGGCAUUUGGGACUGCAAGGCUCGAGUGCGGCAGAGGAGACUGGAAUUCCUGGUGUAGCAGUGAAAUGCGUAGAUAUCAGGAGGAACACCGAUGGCGAAGGCAGGUCUCUGGGCUGACGCUGACGCUCAUGCACGAAAGCGUGGGGAGCAAACAGG